CGAUAAUUAAAAUUAAUUUUGAAGUCUUAUUUAGACUUGGUGUGUUGGAUUAGUAGGAAAAUAAAAGUAAUUUAAAGAAGAAGGGGGAAUAAGAAAAGGAAAAUGGAGAAAAUAUCUCCCCUCUAGAACCUACGUGAAUUAUCAUUCCCACUCCACGCCUCUCUCUCUCCCUAUCUCUCUCUUCGACCAGGGUGGGGAUUUCCAGAAUCCAUCGGCUUCUCCAAUUCCGCCAGCCAUCACCGCCGUUGUACAGUCACCUCGCCGGAGCUGGCUACUGCUUCCUUGAUUUCGCCGGAGAUGGCCACUGAGCGAUUUCUCCGCCGGGAGACGCGACGCCGCUGCUGUCUCGCCGGGAAGACGCGACGCCGCUGCUGUCAGCAGCGUCCGUCGGUCAGUCUCCGCCACCCGUUGCUCCGAUUUACCCCGAAACAGUCUCGAUUCCCUCCGAACAGCCCCGAAACAUCCCGCAAGAUAAGUUCUCUUUUAUCAAAUUAUGUUCUUUCGCAUUUUCAAUUGAUUACAGCGGGUGUUCAAUUUGUGAUGUUCGAUUGGUGUUAUUAUUCAUACCGUUCCGAGUUUCGAUUGUUGAUUGAGUUACGUGAAGGAGUUGAAUUUGGCAGCAUAUGUUAUGUACUGAUAUGCUAUGCUUGUGAAAGUAAUUGAUCGACUGAAAAGGGGUAUACGUUGUUGUAAACUAAACUUGGUGGUAGGGACGUUUGGGAAGAGUGUUGAAUGAGGGAUUUCUUGUGAUUUGUAGGGAUUUGAAACAAGUUCUUACACUCUCUUUCUCUCUCGGCUCUCUACUUCAAUUGUUGGAGGAUUUUCAUGUAUGGAGAUAAGAAAGUGUUGUGGUGAAAGAAACAAAGGAGACAACUAAUGUGUCCUGUUCUGGCAGCAUGUUACAAGUCCCGUUUAACCAAGGUAAUCCUAUCCCAGGAAAUAACAAGGACAUGGACAAGGAGCAGGAAUAAAGGGAUUAGUGUGUCAAGGGCGUUUUGGAUUUCGAGAUUAGCUCUUUCGAUGUACAACUGCUCAAGUCGGGUCACUAGCCAACCUUUUUGUGUUCAGAAAAUUUUUUCGGAUAUACUAGAUGUGGCAUGUAUAGAAAGUGUAAUAUAGUUCGGACGUUUCAUUUACUUCGUUAUCCAGGUUGUAUAAAUAUAUAUAGACUUUUUGAAACAGGUUUAUGGUCUAAUUUCAGACGUUAUAUAACAGUUUUUCCGUUUGCCAAGUAAA